rnacentral:rRNA from 1 species
ACGGAGGGUGCGAGCGUUAUUCGGAUUCACUGGGUUUAAAGCGCGCGUAGGCGGGCUUUUAAGUCAGACGUGAAAUCCCUGAGCUUAACCUGGAAACUGCGGUCGAUACUGGAGGACUUGAGUCCUCGAGAGGUAAGCGGAAUACCUCGUGUAGCAGUGAAAUGCGUAGAUAUGAGGAGGAACACCAAUUGCGAAGGCAGCCAACUGGAUAGAAACUGACGCUGAGGCGCGAAAGCGUGGGGAGCAAACAG